GUGGCUGGGGUGGAGGAAGAGCUUAAAUUUGAUGAGGUGGGAGGAAGUCAGGCAUCCAAAGGCACGCCACUCGCCACUACCACACACACGCGCUCUUCUGCCUUGUGGGUCGCUGCCAGCCGCUUUGCAAACAGAGCAGUAGCAUUGCCUCGUUUACCUUGGGUCUGAUGCAUAUAGUUUGCAGUAAGUGUGGUGUGGAGGGAAGGAGGGCAAGUGAGGAUCUUUGUUGAGAGGGAAGGGAGGAGUUCGGCCACUGUUAAAACCAAAACGUAGAUGCUUAAAGGGACUGGGUCUGUGGCACAAAGGGCCCACUAGACCCCAGAGAACUUGGAUGAUAGACACUCUUUACAGAAUACAGCUUUGUAAAACGUCCAGUCUCCGCUCUGCUGUUGGUUUCACCACGAACAUUGCAAGCAGCCUGCUGGAGUGGAGCGACCACAGCCAAAUCUGCGCCUCUUACUGCCACAUAACUCUUGAAAGAGGCAGAGAAAUUCAACCCCCAGGUGUAGCAGCUGUACUGCUGGGCAUCCUCGAAUCAUUUUUAUGGGUCAUCUUCAUAUGAACAAUCAUGUAUUUUCUAUUUCUCUACUGAUACUAGGCCUGCUUCCUCUCCUGUUGUCAUGAAUCGGUGCUCCGUCACUCAGUGUGAGCAAGCUCAGGCUCUGAGUAAUUCUGGUGCUAUUUGAAUAGCUUUAUUCCUGUCUUUUGAAAACCAAAACUCUGGAUAGUAUUCUCCCCACCCCAAAAUAACUUGCUUGAUGCUGCAAAAUAUCAAUAAGCUUAAUCAUGUGAUAUAAUAAGAAAAAGCACAACUCCUUGCCUCCUUCCGCUCCCUGCUGCGUGUACAAGUUUACGUGCGUUUUUUCCCACGUGCCAUUGUCUAAUUGCAGGGGCGCUCCUGUAAUUCCAGUGGUGGGACGCGGAUCUGACUGCUCCUGCUCGGAUGUAGUUUUCAAUGUAAAGCUACCGUGUCUCUGCUGGUUUGACUGCCUGUCCUUUCUCCUAUCCUUGCUGGCCUGGAUGGAGAUUACUGAUGAUUCUGGCUUUGAAAGAUGGUUGCUUUUAUCCUCUUGCUUGACUCUAUUAAAAAACCACAUGAUGCUACGGAUGCUGUUGGUUUUUUUGUGCCAAUGAAUGGUUAUAAAUUGUCUCUGUCUAGAGGCCCAAUGUAUUCUGUAUCUGAAAAUAUUUAAACAUCCUCUGACUGGCUGUUGUCUGUAUAGAACUGCAAUGUGCUUUGGGCACUGUUUUUGCUUCAACCUUUGCUUCUUUGUUACACAAAUAAUCACUCUGAUUUGAUUUGUACUUGCUGGGUAUCUACUUGGCUCCAAGCCCAGAGAACUCCUAGGGAGGCUGGCGCUGCCUACCAAAAUAGGAAGAACUGUUACAGACAAACACAAUAUUGGUAGGGUGAUGAUUAGCUGCUAUUUAGAGUUGCGCUAGGAAGCGUUUCUACAACUCCAACAAUUUGCUUCAACAACAUGCAUCUGCCUGAAUCAGUUGCAAGGGGACUCUCUGAAUUUAGUUUUCCCUUUAAUGGGUAGAAACAUCAAAUAAAAUGCAGCCCAUGCAGAGUUAUGCAAGAGCAGUACAGUAGCAGUACUACUGUACCUGGAAUGAGAGGAAUCGCUAUUAAUAGACCUUUUUCUCUGCUCCCAAGCAACAGAGGCAUCUCCUUGGAAAAUCUGACUCCGCUCCCCCAUACCAACUACCCAAUGAAGGGUAGAGUACAGCAGUGGUAUUUGAUUCACCAGAAUAGUCAUAGAGUGGAGAUCUGACACUAUUCAAAUAGAUUCAGGUGACUUCAAACUGGUGCAGCCUCCCUGAAUACUCCUGCAAGUGCCAACAGUGUCCUGGCAUGAGGUGCAUAGUGCCAUACUGCUAGACAGGAUGGGAUUGCAUUGCCUGGGGGGACAGACAACCUGGAAUUCAUCCCAUCAGCCAGUAGGGAGGUUGAAGGAGGGCUGGGGGCUUAGGACACGGUGAGAUGGGACCAAGGUGAUCAGACUAUUGGAGCUCAUCAUUUCUAGAGGGACAGAUUUGCAGGUGAAUACUCACAUGAUGUAUGCCGCCUGAGGAGGGUCAAGAUUUAGGCUGCCAAAUUUACCCUUGGUAGCCCUGCUUCUGGGCCCAGGGUUUAGUCUGCUCCUUGGUAGUGUCUGUUGCAGAAGACUUGUCUACAUGGAGGAAGGUUAAUCUGAAUUAAUUCUGGAAGUGGAUUAGUUAAAGGUCAUAAAAUUCCUGCAUAGACACUCUUAUUCCAAGUUAAAGUCGCCUUAAUUCAAUUUACCUGACAAUACUUGACUACACCUUAAAUUACCUAAAGUGCAACUUUUGUGAGUGUCCGUCUAUAGAUAAGCCCUUUAGCUCAGCUUCAGGGUUGUGAUUUUUUAAACUCUUCUUUUUUUUCUUUUAUUUCUUCCCCUAUCCCCUCUUGGGAUUUCUUCCCCUCCCCUGCCAGCCUCUUGCUCUGAGCACCGCGUGGUGGAGAUACAACUCUAAUGCCAGUACCUUUCAAAUGAUAGUGGCUGGAUUAUUUGAAGUCAUUGACUUCAGCUUCUGCACCCAAGACUGACUUAACACCUUGUUAUCCUUUAGCAAGCAUUACAACAAGCUUCAGUCAAAAAUGUCACAUAGCUGUAGUAUUUUACUACUGUUAUCUCCUGCAUUUUUCACAGUAUGAUUUUUCAGGUCCUGCAAAAGAAAACCACCUGAGAUAGGGACUAUGGGAAGGCCUUCUGGUUCCAGGAAAUGAAGAGUGUAGGUGUUCUUCAUCAGACAAAAGCAAGACAUGGCGCUGUCCUGUACUUGCUUCUCAUCAGACCAUUGAGGUGAGAGCUUCCAGUCUGAGCAGCUCUAGUAUUUCUACAGUAGUGGUGCUCAACAUUUUUAGACUCAAGGCACCCCCCUGGAAAAUACCGGCUCUUAGUUUUCACUCAUUUUUUUGACUGUGGGAAAACAGCAAUUUUUCUAUUGCAAAGAAAUCAGAAAGACCGCAACAGCAAAAAAGACAUCUCAGACCUCAUCAAUUCUGCAUUAUGGGAGUUAGCCUCUCCUGACCAAGAGCAAACUGCAGUAAUUACAUCUUUAAAGCGGAAAGAAUUACAUAGCAGCCUGCAAAAGCUAUACACCUGGAUUGGGGCUGCCUGAAAAAAAACACACCAAAAUUUGACAUGCACAGGCCUGUUACUCUGGUGUGCGCACCUGAAAGAUUGCAGGUACGGCAGCAAGAGAACGGGGCUCGUUCCUAGAGGCAAAGGGGGGGCCCAGGGCAGAGCCCUGCGCUCUGAUGAGGUUGUGUGUCUUCCAUCAUCUCUUUGCUGCGCCUGCUGCUUCCUCUAUUCCACCCUCUCGAGAGAUGUCACGGGUCCAAUAAAAGUUACCACGAAAAAACAAAACAAUCCCAGUCU